UAAAAAAGUCACCAACUAUACCACAAAGUGAAAACAACAAAAACAUCUCCGUCUUUGCGAGAUCACUAAUGGGAAGGACACGAUGAAAGUGAUCUAUAAUACCCUUCAAGAAGAGACCAGAACAACUACCUGACACAAGAUCCAUAGUACCACAACAGGUCUCUAUACCGUACCCUACAGAAAAUCUCAAACAAUCCUGGCUCCAAGGGGAGCCCAACUACUUCACCGAGCGGUCAUCCAAACUACAGGGAAGUAGACUUAAGGUCGAGUUUUCCUUUAAAUAGGGUUACUGGUUCAUACUAUAAGUACUGUAGGAGCUGGAAGGUCAUCUACCACUCGGUGAACACACACUAGGAUUUAGGCCGGCACUAAAAUAGGAGAGAGAGUGAAACUGAACUGGUCAUAAGGAGGGCACAGGAAGAAACGUUUGUUCGAUUUCAGUUGUCUUCAGCUCAACGGACUACUUCUACAGAAAUAAACAAAGUACUAACAACGAAAAAGUAGUAAGGAAACAGGGUUGAGAUCGGAGCCAGGAUCGGGUUUCAUGGAUGUAUAGAAGUCCCUAACAGGAAAGCACGCAUUGAUACUAGACAGCUCUAAACAAAUACUCACCGACAACUCAACGUAUUUUUUCAAGUUCCUAAGGUGAUUUCAACGAAGGUUUUCUAGUCACUGUAAACCGCCAACAGUGAUACGAAAACGACAAACAAUGGAACUGGUUGAAUUAAAACCAGAAGUGAGACAGGGACUACAGUUCGGAGUCUAGGAUCAUACUUUUCCAUUGUUUCAAUUCGUUAAAAGUCUCGAACUAUCUUUGUUAUCGGCGAGAAAACCAUUCUCCGGAGAUUUCGUCAACACAGGAAGUAAAGUAAACGUCAGAUAGCUCUUUAGAAGUCGUUCGUUCCUACCACUACAAGGGGAAACGUUGUGGUUCGAAAAACUUUACUUACGCGUCUUUAGUAAACCACGAGCAAAACCUAAUCUCCGACGAGUCCAUCACUAUCUGGAACAAGUUCGAUCCUUGUUUCUGUUCGGAUUCUAUACAAAUCUUAGAGAACAUUAACUACAGAACCUGACGUAUCGUUUGAGUCGAAACUUACGCUUUGGAUAACGAUGUGGUUUUCAAAGAAGUUCGCUACAAGUUAGAGAUUUGUUGAAGAGAAAACCGUUAUUCAAAUAAAGAUAAGUGAGAAAGUAGGAACUUUCUUUGUAACUUUGAUAACAGCUUUUCGGUAGAGGAGUUCAGGUCGUGGGUUAGGGGUUAAACUUACUUCGAAGAUGAAAACAACGACCACAAUAAAGCCUACCCCUAAAAGAGUUAGGUCAUCAUAAUAGAUCAAGUAGAGGUCAAGGAUUCUCACACCACUUACUUCGAUUACGCCUUCCACGUUAAGGUUACCUAGGAGAUAGAACACCUUUUUCACGAAGACUACGAUAUCCAUAUAGGGGAAGUUGUUACGUCACAGGUUAAGGACGAUAACCAAGAAGCGACUACGUAAGUCGACCAGGACUAUUUUUCACGCUCGGGUUCCAACAACAAUGACUAAAAGUUUUUGGUUCAAAACGACUUAAGUCAGCGAGAGAACCACAAGUUAGUGUGGGAUUUCAAAAGUAAGUUGUCGUGUUUCAAUUUCUCCCACUGAGAAGAAAACCUCCUGAUAGCGGAGACCAAGGAUAAGCAAACAGCGUCGCCAAGGUGUUACACCAUCUACUACAACUCACGAGAAUCAUACUACAACUUUCUAAGAACUUAAGCGAACUAGGUGGUUUACAACUCCUAACGUAACUUUACCACUGGAACGGAGGAAGACUUCAAAGUUUCAGUUUAAAGAGGAGUUCGGUGGAAUUACUAGUCGGUCAUCUGCUGCAAGUUUAACACCCCUGAAGGUCAAAACAACUAUCUACGUUUCUGGAAAGUUCCAGAUUACUACAACGAAUGUUGUUCGAAUUGUUGAAGUUGAACUGUCUUAGAGUUAGUUGAUCAGUAAAGGGAUUCUUAGUUUUUCGAUAACGAUCAAGUCUUCAUCUCUAGAACAGAAGGCCCUUACGGAGAUCUCUAGAAAGAGGACGAGUUCAAGGAUUUCGAGUACCGAGUAGAAAACAACAAGGAUCACCAAGUAGACCACGAGUAGAUGGAGCGUCCUACCAAAAUGGUCCAUCUAUAUUGAGCCUAAGAAUACAACGAGUCCCAUUGUUCAAAGGACAAAGACGAUUUCUUUCCGCAGUGGAGGAUCGUUACCAAGUUUAACCUCUGGUACUUUCAACCACGUUCAUACUUCGUUAAGCUAUACUGACUAGGAUGACAUCAAUGGCAUUAGAACGUUGAAACUUCAGUUCUCUUGUACACCUAUUAAAGAACUAAAACACGCAAACAGCAAUAGACAAGUUUGUUCGGGUGGGUAGCCAUAGUUCCUUUGUAAAGAAGAAGAGAAUAUAACCCCUUUGGUAAGAUUCUCCAUGACUACAACUAUAACAUCCGUUACGUAAAUGACCGCGAUUCACGAAAGGGUUACACCUCUUCAUUAGACAAUAAGAAAGGAUAACCUGUCCUCUUUGUGACCAAAUGGAACCAACAAACGAACUUCCUCUCCCGUAAGCGUAAAGAACUAAGAAACAUGCCCCGUUUCCUAGUAAAAGUAGACCCUUAAGUACUAUUUAACUAACUUUUAAAGUAUUGUUAGACCCUAGUCAAACACUGAGGAUAGGAUGCAUGAGCAUAGCUGAAACUCUUAAAACUGUAACAGAUGGGAUGACAAGGUGUCGUUUUAUUGACCCUCCUAACACCACAAAAGUGAUAGUACAUAGACUUCGUGGCCUGAGGAUCCUGGGGUUAACCGUUAUACAAACCGCGUCGGCUACAACUAUUGUAUUCUUAGUCUAACCGUUUGCUCAACAUAAAGUCACCUAAGUUGUCACAGCUGUUCUGUAAACAAUGGGUGAAGAAGCUACUACAGUUCCGAAUCCAAAAGGACCUUCUACGUAAAAACACUGUAACUUCCGAAACGAAUUUUGAUCCGAAAGGUUCUUUAAUAUCUAUCAUCAUGACGACCGUUACAAAAAACAGCCAUCACACUAAUUUAGGCUAUUUAAACAUGCGAAACCAGAUCAACAGUACAGACACACAACCUACCAACAAGAUAAAAAUUACAGCACUUAGUCACUGAGAAAAAUUGUCUCUUCAUACUC
rnacentral:rRNA from 1 species